CCCAGGACGCCAGUAUCACAACCUGAGCUGAAGGCGGACGCUCAACUCCUGAGCCACCCAGUGCAUUUGACGGCACCGAGGAGGAAUUCCACUAAUAUGAGAGUACCCACACAUUCCAUUAACUCCUGGCCUUCCUGCUGAGUGGUCCCAACUCCAACUGCUGCAUAUCUUCUCUCCUGGACAAAGGUGCUGGGUUAAAACUGGACAUGUGCCCUUCGCAAGCCAGUUUGGACAACCUUUAGGACAUCUUGUUGGAAGACUGCAACCAAAGUGCUUUCUUCCAGCUGGAGAAAAUACCAGUUGCUACAACCAUAAGAAGAAAUAAUCUCCAUCUUUUCUGGUCAAAAGAUGGUCAGAGUGAUUGGACCAACCAAAUCCGACUAUAACUCUGGGGUUUAAGUUCUAUGAAUUAAUACAUUUAUCUUAUUUU